AUGCGGAUUAUUCGAUGCACGCGAGAACCUUACCAAGGCUUGACAUACACGAGAACGCCCUWKAWAUAGGGAACUCUUUGGACACUCGUGAACAGGUGGUGCMUYKUUGUCGUCAGCUCGUGUCGUGAGAUGUUGGGUUAAGUCCCGCAACGAGCGCAACCCUCGUUCUAUGUUGCCAGCGCGUAAUGGCGGGAACUCAUAGGAGACUGCCGGGGUCAACUCGGAGGAAGGUGGGGAUGACGUCAAAUCAUCAUGCCCCUUAUGUCUUGGGCUUCACGCAUGCUACAAUGGCCGGUACAAAGGGCUGCAAUACCGUAAGGUGGAGCGAAUCCCAAAAAGCCGGUCUCAGUUCGGAUUGAGGUCUGCAACUCGACCUCAUGAAGUCGGAGUCGCUAGUAAUCGCAGAUCAGCAACGCUGCGGUGAAUAYGUUCCCGGGCCUUGUACACACCG
rnacentral:rRNA from 1 species